AACGAACGCUGGCGGCAGGCCUAACACAUGCAAGUCGAGCGGACCUUUCGGGGUCAGCGGCGGACGGGUGAGUAACGCGUGGGAAUAUGCCCUUCUCUACGGAAUAGUCCUGGGAAACUGGGGGUAAUACCGUAUACGCCCUUUGGGGGAAAGAUUUAUCGGGGAAGGAUUAGCCCGCGUUGGAUUAGGUAGUUGGUGGGGUAAUGGCCUACCAAGCCGACGAUCCAUAGCUGGUUUGAGAGGAUGAUCAGCCACACUGGGACUGAGACACGGCCCAGACUCCUACGGGAGGCAGCAGUGGGGAAUCUGAGACAAUGGGGGCAACCCUGAUCGAGCCAUGCCGCGGGAGUGAUGAAGGCCUUAGGGUGGUAAAGCUCUUUCAGCUGGGAAGAUAAUGACGGUACCAGCAGAAGAAGCCCCGGCUAACUCCGUG
rnacentral:rRNA from 1 species